AAUUAUACCCUAGUUUUAAGACAUCUUGGCAAAUACCCGAGAAGUAAUUGAUAAUAUUAAUCCUAACGUUUUAUUAUUAUCUGUAGUAGCUAAUGUUGUUUUUCACGUUAUUUCAAAAUGGAUCGUAGAAUACAUAAUUUCAUGGAAUGUUUAGCCAUUUGAUAAAAGAAAUGGUUCUAUUUAAUUAAGUGGCGCCACAAACUAAACUCAUCUUUAACGUCAAAAAACGAUUUCACAAAUGAGUUUAAAAUAUAUUGUUGGUGCAAGUAAUGAAAAAAAAUGUAAACAUUUUACGAAGAUAUACUUUUGCAUUUGAGUCAUAAGAUUUUUUAGAAGGACAGUAAACAACAACAUAAAAUAAACACAAUUAUGCCCGUUACCAUCAUGAAAGUACGUGAAAUAUUUCAAAUAUAUCAAAGGCUUUUGAACAGAAGACCUUAUUUAGUACAAGCUAUUCAAACAGGAACAUUAAUGGGAGCUGGAGAUCUUAUAUCACAGACUUUAAUUGAAAAGAAAUCAUUCAAAGAUGCUGAUUAUGCUAGAACUAUAAAAUUUUCUUCCAUAGGCUUUUUUUUUGGAGGUCCUGCACUAAGGGUAUGGUAUGGAUUGUUAAAUAGACAUGUUGGAUCAAGUGGUAAAACUGUUGCACUCAAAAAGGUUUUUAUAGACCAAGCAGUAUUUGCUCCAACUUUCCUUUUCUUCCUUUUAGUUGGAUUAGGUGCAUUACAAGGAAAGUCAUGGGAUUUAAUAAAGGAUGAUAUUAACACCAAUUAUGUUGAUAUCCUUAAGACUAAUUAUUAUGUUUGGCCUUGGGUUCAGAUAGUUAAUUUUUAUUAUGUACCACUACAGUAUCAAGUGCUACUUGUACAAAGUAUUGCUUUAUUCUGGAAUACAUAUUUGUCUUAUAAGACAAACCGAACAAAACUAUCACAAUAAACAUUAUCUUGAUAUCUUAAUUAUAUAGAUUCUUAGACAUCUGUAUUAUGGAGAAGAAUGACGAUGACAAUAGCGAUGAUAUUUCUCAAUCUCAAACAGUAUUUUAUGAUAUACCUGUUGCUGCAUGCCAUUAUAUGAAAUAGUAUUAUUUUAUAUAAUAUUAAGAAAUAGCAUAGUAAUAAUUUACAAAUAUUGAAAUGCAAUAAAUUCACCUUAAAAUUUAUUUUUUAAUUUACAAAAAAUCAUCAUCUAAUGUUAAUAAGUGAUCCUGAAACAACAAGAAUGCAUAUCUUAUUGAAUGUGCAUUAAAAAACAAGCUAAAGAUUGUUUACCAAAUGAAAAAAUAAUUAUUUUAGGCUCUAACAAAUGGUAGAAUAUCUGUCGGAUUACUCAAAGGACAAUAAAAAUGGAACUAACUGUUAACUGAGAUGAAUAAAAUUUAUAUAAUGAGUGAUAAUACAAAAAACAGUCAUGAGAAACCUGGAGAUGGUAUUAGAUCUAUGAAGUCAACAACAGCAUUUCGUGUUGUAAAUUUUGAACUGUAUGCUAAGCCGAACAUUGUAGUAAUGAGUAUUGGUGCAGCAUGCUUUGGUCUUGCCUUAGGUUACAUAGCAUAUAUGAGGCAGAAAUAUGAAUCAAUGGGUUACUAUUCCGCUAUAGACGCUGAUGGAAAAGAGAUAUUUGAAAAAAAGAAGUCUAAGUGGGAUUGACAAAUUGUUACUUUUUGUAAAUAUUUUAAGGAAUAAAUUAUAGUUUUAGAUUGUA